rfam:Rhodnius prolixus Rhodnius_prolixus-3.0.3-205.9, whole genome shotgun sequence.
AUCGCUUCUCGGCCUUUUGGCUAAGAUCAAAGUGUAGUAUCUGUUCUUAUCAGCUUAAUCUCUGGUACGGCCUCCAUAGGGGGCCCAGAAGAUUAAACUGAUUUUUGGAAAAUGACGGAGUGCUAGGGGCUUGCUCCACCUCUGUCGCGGGUUGACCCGGUAUUGCAGUACCUCCGGGAACGGCCCACCUAAA